rnacentral:lncRNA from 1 species
UUAGAAUGUCAAGGCUGCCUUUUUAUUUGUGGACGCUUUGAAUUAGCUGCGUUAACUCUGUGGACAAUGGAUAUUGCUAAUAUGUCUGUUAUGAUAGCCCCAAGUCCUCAAAUGGCCCCUUUAGAAACACAGGAUAAUGUUCAUGUGAGCUGACCUGACCAAAGAGCUCAGCGAGGGAUAGCGUUUAGCUGAGUUGUCUAUACACAAUGACAAACAUCAAAGCAAUUCCAAGCGUCGCUGCAGCUUUCAUUGGAAUAUUUGCAGUGAAUUUGUGCUAUGUGGGUCCACAUAUGUGCGCAUCAGCGCAUUUCACCAGCGUGGAUGUUCCAGGAUCUGAGGUCGAGCACUACCCGCCAGUACUAUGGGACGAUGUAGACCCUUAUGUUUAAAAUAAAAAAAAAGCUAACAUAAAGAAUGAUUUGCAUGUAUGCUGCGUUACACACAAUUUGAUGAUCACACAUUGUAAACAUAAAACAGUGUUAAAGGGAUUUUGAAACACUUUUUCAAGUAACCGUGUUGCAUAUCAUGUCGAAUAUGAAGGUAUGAUACCCUUAAUACGAGCCCACACUCUCUUGUAGAACCUAUUGUGAAUAAAAGGCUAUGAACAAGUUGA